rnacentral:misc_RNA from 1 species
GAUGAAGAACGCAGCGAACUGCGAUAAGUAAUGUGAAUUGCAGAAUUCAGUGAAUCAUCGAGUCUUUGAACGCACAUUGCGCCCCCUGGCAUUCCGGGGGGCAUGCCUGUCCGAGCGUCAUUGCUGCCCUUCAAGCCCGGCUCGUGUGUUGGGUCGUCGUCCCCCCCGGGGGACGGGCCCGAAAGGCAGCGGCGGCACCGCGUCCGGUCCUCGAGCGUAUGGGGCUUUGUCACCCGCUCGAUUAGGGCCGGCCGGGCGCCAGCCGGCGUCUCCAACCUUCUAUUUUACCAGGUUGACCUCGGAUCAGGUAGGGAUACCCGCUGAACUUAAGCAUAUCAAUAAGCGGAGGA